UUGAUCCUGGCUCAGGAUGAACGCUAGCGGCAGGCUUAACACAUGCAAGUCGAGGGGUAUAUGUCUUCGGAUAUAGAGACCGGCGCACGGGUGCGUAACGCGUAUGCAAUCUACCUUUUACAGGGGGAUAGCCCAGAGAAAUUUGGAUUAAUACCCCAUAGUAUAGCUGGACCGCAUGGUCCUACUAUUAAAGUCACAACGGUAAAAGAUGAGCAUGCGUCCCAUUAGCUAGAUGGUAAGGUAACGGCUUACCAUGGCUACGAUGGGUAGGGGUCCUGAGAGGGAGAUCCCCCACACUGGUACUGAGACACGGACCAGACUCCUACGGGAGGCAGCAGUGAGGAAUAUUGGACAAUGGGCGCAAGCCUGAUCCAGCCAUGCCGCGUGCAGGAUGACGGUCCUAUGGAUUGUAAACUGCUUUUAUACGAGAAGAAACACUGAUUCGUGAAUCAGCUUGACGGUAUCGUAAGAAUAAGGAUCGGCUA
rnacentral:rRNA from 1 species